AGCUCCAAUAGCGUAUAUUAAAGUUGUUGCAGUUAAAAAGCUCGUAGUUGGACUUCUGAUGCAGCUGUGCGGUCCGCCUCACGGUGAGCACUGCAUGGGUGUGUCUUCCUCUCGCAGGCUUUCGGUGCACUUAACUGGGUGCCGUUUGAAUGUGGGACCUUUACUUUGAAAAAAUUAGAGUGUUCAAAGCAGGCAUACGCUUGAAUACAUUAGCAUGGAAUAAUAGAAUAGGACUUUGGUUCUAUUUUGUUGGUUUCUAGGACCGAAGUAAUGAUUAAUAGGGACAGUUGGGGGCAUUAGUAUUUAAUUGUCAGAGGUGAAAUUCUUGGAUUUAUGAAAGACUAACUACUGCGAAAGCAUUUGCCAAGGAUGUUUUCAUUAAUCAAGAACGAAAGUACGC
rnacentral:rRNA from 1 species